CUCCUCCAGCAUCAGCUGUGGAGAGACAUGACGCUGAAGGGAAGCUGGCCUCCAAGUCAGGGAGAGCUCUGAAUGUGCAAGUAAAAGAGUUGGAGCUUUAUUCUGCAGACAGUGGUAUACAGUUCUAUGGAUCUGAACAUGUGCAGAUGUGUGUAUCCUCCACCACCAUCAGGAUACGGGAAAACUCCAUCAUCCCCUAAAAACGCACUCAUGCUGUUGUUUUAUAGUUAUAUCCUCACCCCACCCAUAGUCCUGGCAAAUACUAAUAUGUUUUCCAUCACCAUAAUUUUGUCUUUUUGAGAGUAUCAAGUAAAUGAAAUUACAGUGUGU